rnacentral:rRNA from 1 species
UUUGAUCCUGCUCAGGAUGAACGUGGGCGGCGUGCCUAAUACAUGCAAGUCGAACGAAGACUGUAGUAAUACUGUCUUAGUGGCGAACGGGUGAGUAACGCGUGGGUGACCUGCCCCGAAGUGUGGGAUAACAGUUCGAAAGAACUGCUAAUACCGCAUAAUAUCCAAGAGAUUAGACGCUUUUGGAUUAAAGGAGUAAUUCGCUUCGGGAGGGGCCCGCGUCCCAUCAGCUAGUUGGUAAGGUAAAGGCUUACCAAGGCGAUGACGGGUAGGGGACCUGAGAGGGUGGCCCCCCACAAUGGAACUGAAACACGGUCCAUACACCUACGGGUGGCAGCAGUAGGGAAUAUUAGUAAUGGGCGAAAGCCUGAACUAGCAACGCCGCGUGUGCGAAGAAGGCCUUCGGGUUGUAAAGCACUUUUUGAAAGGAUGAGGAAGGACGGUACUCUCAGAAUAAGUCUCGGCUAACUACGUGCCAGCAGCCGCGGUAACACGUAGGAGGCAAACGUUAUCCGGAUUUACUGGACGUAAAGCGCGUGUAGGUGGCUUGGUAAGUAGGGCGUGUAAGCUCCUGGCUCAACUGGGAGAGGACGUCCUGAACUGCCAAGCUUGAGGAUGGUAGAGGGAGGUGGAAUUCCGGGUGUAGCGGUGGAAUGCGCAGAUAUCCGGAGGAACACCAGUGGCGAAGGCGGCCUCCUGGACCACUCCUGACACUCAGACGCGAAAGCUAGGGUAGCAAACGGGAUUAGAGACCCCGGUAGUCCUAGCCCUAAACGAUGUAGACUCGGCGUCGGUGGUUUAAUCGCCAUCGGUGUCGUAGCUAACGCGUUAAGUCUACCGCCUGGGGACUACGGCCGCAAGGUUAAAACUCAAAGGAAUUGACGG